rnacentral:rRNA from 1 species
UUACCAGCUAGAAUGGAAUGAAAGGCCAGCAGGCCAAGGUGCUGCAUGGUUGUCGUCAGCUCGUGCCGUGAGGUGUUGGGUUAAGUCCCGCAACGAGCGCAACCCUAUUACAUUUGCCAUCAUAUGGGACUAUGUGAGACUGCCGCCGUAAGUGGAGGAAGGUGGGGAUGACGUCAAAUCAUCAUGGCCUUUAUGCUGGGCUACACACGUGCUACAAUGGGGUACACGCGGCACGGCGACGUAAGCAAUCGCAACCAUCUCAGUUCGGAUUGGAGUCUGCAACCCGACUCUAUGAAGCUGGAAUCGCUAGUAAUCGCGAUCAGCAUGCGCGGUGAAUACGUUCCCGGACCUUGUACACACCGCCCGUCAAACCAUGGGAGUCUGGGGCCGAA